AGGAGAGACCAUUGGUGAAGGUGCAGCCUCAGUAGCUGUUGAAGGCCAGAUAGACUGAAGGAGUCAUGAAGAGAAACCGAGGCUCGGCAUCAUGAAUAAAUCCUAGGACAUUGGUAAAAGCACAGCCCAGUUGCAGUCAAAGAUCCCAGCAUUGUGGAGAUGCCAGUACCUUGGCAUGAUCACCAAGAGCAGCAGUGGCCAUAGAAUGGCGCCUACCCGAGCUUAGAGGACAAGCUGUGUGUGCUACAGAGGAGCUGGAGAAGUGGCCCAAGCCCCUUGUAGGAGGCCAGAAGAUGGUUAGUGAAUCCCAGGUGGCGCCACCUCUGUUUGUAAACUCCAAUCCAGAGCUGUAGUUGUUUCUCCUUUUGGCCCUACACUGUAGAACCAAAGCCGUGCCCAACAGAAGUAGCCUCACCCUGAGUGUCUGAAGCCAGUAUACACGUGAUGCCAUUGCUCCUUGGAUGUCUGCUCACCUCUUCUCAAGCAGAACCUAUAAGGAGCGGAUCAGUGAUGCCUCUGAGCCACACGUAGACAAUAUGGAUUUCAGAUAAAGCACGCUUCUGACUAGAGAAUGAUUAAAAGGAUGCCGUCUGUUUGCAGGAAAAACUUGAUCAUCGAGAUCCAUGAUAAUGACAUCUCAAGAACCAAAAGCUAGCUGAGAGAUUCUGAGACAAAGGAGGAGGAACAGUCUCUCUUCUUGCUAUAUCAUAGAACCUCAGUGAGGAACGUGAUCCAGCUCAGGAUAGCUCAUCUUGGCACUCCUCACUGCAACGGGGGCCUCGUCCUGGUCUAUCAGUCUAUCACUUUUUCAUGACAAAUGGGUCCCUUCACAAACUCACUAUGACCUAAACCCAUAGUAUAUCCCACAGAGUAAUUAUCAAUAAAUUUCCACAUUUAAAAAAA
rnacentral:lncRNA from 1 species